GAGAGAUAUUGUUUGGAAAUGGGACAAAGAUUGACAUCAAAGAACGAACAGCAAGUUUUGAAUUGAUCGGGCUGGUCAUAGCGAUACUCUGCUUGGUGAUUUCUCUGAUUGGAAAUGUUUCUCUCAUUUGCUUCCAAACUCCGAGAGAAGAAAGUGAACAAUCUAAAGCUGCUGUCGUCCUGCAAUUAAACAGCGAGAGGGUGAAAAAUCAACAGGUAAAUCAUUUAAAGAUGUUCAUGUUGUCCUUAUGUUUUUGUCUGUUUAACAGCUCAUGUCUAUCUUUGCCCAGAUUGAUGAGGA